AAUUUCACUCCUCUGCAUUCACCAAAUGUCCAAUUACAUAUCCUCCCUGCCUGGACCUUCAGAACAAUAUAAAACUGAAUGAAGGCUAUGAAAGAAGUCACAGGAGGAUUUUUGCAGAGCUUCCAUCCAGUUCAGAAACAAAGCAAUUCAAUACAUGUCUUCAAGAUUUCUAAAGGCAAUGACUUAAUUCUAAGUUCCAUGAAAGCAGGCAUUGUGUGAAUUUCUCCUGCAUCUGGAACUGGCCUAGCACACCAAUAGAACCAUGGAGAAUUGCCAAGAUUGCUGACUAGAUGUGGCCAGGAGAAAUAUCUCCCACUGAGAGACUGGGACAUUGGAAAGACUAUAACACACCUCUGAGUAGAUCUUCUGAUGGAAGACAUUAAGAGUGGAUGCAGAGAGGAUGCAGAUGCUGGGCUGAAGAGAGAGGAAGCUGGAAACCCUGCAUAGUGUGGCUGAGCCUCAGGACUUGUACCUGGCCCUCAGAGACUCCUGGGGGAAGGGUGAGUUUACAGGUGAGGAGUGGCCUGCUCUCACCAUGGACCCAUUCUGGUAGGUCCCUCAACCUCUAUGGGCAUCUGAGAUGGUAGGAAAAGCUGCUCAGAGAGGUCAUAUGGGCAGGACUCCAGCCUAUGCAGAGCCCAGAGUGGUGGGAGAACAGCUGCAGUGAAGCACAUCCAGGGACGGCCAUCCUCCAAGGCUCACUGUGCUUCUCCAGGAUACUUUAGCCUCAAUAUGACUGUUAGAGCUAGACAAAGCAGGGCAGUCUUGCUCGUGGGAUGCGGCCUGAUGCCUGAUCUGAUGCUCUGUUACCUGCUGGCCUCUCUUGGGGAGCCAGUCUGGUCGUGCUUGCUUGAAGUGCAGCCUUGGAUACCCAACAGGGGUGCUUCUAGGAACCCUCAUCAUAGCUCCUUCAAUGGCAGACUUAGCUCCUUCAAUGGCAGACUGUGCCUGAUUAUCAGAGAACUCCAGCAGACCAGGCCCCACUUACAUGAACCAGCCCACGCACAGCUUCACCCUAUCACAGCCCUCCCGUAAUGCUUUACUGACAUGCAUUUGCUCAUGGCCAUUCUCCAUCGCUGUGCUUGUAUGAGUCCACCUUGUUGCUUCCCCCUGCCAUUAACAUGCAGGUUCACUCCUGUGCCAGCACUAAUGUGUGCACAGAUGCUGGCAACACUGUUCUCCCCCCAACCCCUGCUACCACCGCCACCAAUGCUGCCGGUGUGAAUGCAUACAUGGACACCAGCAACUCCAUCUCUGCUAGUGUACUGCCCUUGCUGUGCUGUCAUCACUGGCAUAAACAUGUGCAGGAACACCACCUCCCUGCUCCCACAGUUGCUCUGUGCAAGCCAACAUGUGUGCACCUUGCCACAUUGCUGUGGCUGCUGGUAUGCAUGAGCCAGCAUGGAUCCCACUGCCACUACUCCAGUGACAUGCUUUGACCAGCACCCCUCCCCAUCAGAGUGUGGUGGCCAGUGGACAAGAACACCUCAGUCUCUCCAGUGCAGCAGCUUCCUAACCUUGAGGGGCCAGAGAACAAGGCUGGGGGCCCAGUACCAGCCUCCCAGAGUUAAAACAUGCAGCCCAGCAGUGUAGAGCUGAGCCUUGGCUUUCUAAAAUCUUCCAGAAAUAAAUGAAGCCAGUUGACUGAACCCAUCAUAUGCCACAAUCUAACUCCCAGGGCAUCAAAGAAGAUAAAAGCCAAAAUCCCCAUCCAAAGGACAGUAAUAUCAAAGAUGAGAAAGAACCAGUGCAAAAAACUCUGGCAAUUCAAAAAGCCAGAGUGUCUUUUUACCUCCAAACGAUCACUCCAUUUCCUCAGUGGUGGUUCUUAACUAGGCUGAAAAGACAGAAAUGACAGAUAUAGACUUCAGAAUAUGGAUAGGAAAGAUGAUCAAGAUUUGGGAGAAGAUUGAAACCCAAUCCUAGGAAGCUAAGGAAUACAAUAAUGCAAUACAGGAGCUGAAAGAUGAAAUGGCCAUUUUAAGAAAGAACCAAACUGAUGUGAUAGAGUGACAGAGCUGAAAAACUCACUUUGAGAAUUUCACAAUACAAUUGCAAGUAUUAACAGCAGAGUAGACCAUGCUGACGAAGGACUCUCAGAUCUUGAAGACCAGUUCUCCAAAGUUAACUUGGUCAGACAAAAAUAAAGAAAAAAGGAUAUAAAAAGAAUAAACAAAACCUCCAAGAAACAUGAGAUUAUGUAAAGAGAUCAAAUUUCUGAUGCAUUGGCAUCCUUGAAAAUGAGGGAGAGAAAGCACGCAACUUAGAAAACAUAUUUCAAGAUAUUGUCAAUGAAAAAUUCCCCAACCUCGCUAGAGAGUCCAAUAUUCAAAUCCAGGAAAUGAAGAGAACGCCUGCAAGAUAUUAUACAAGAUGAUCAUUCCUAAGACACAGAGUCACCUGAUUCUCUGAGGUUGAAAUGAAAGAAAAAAUGUUAAAGGCAGCUAAAGAGAAGGGACAGGUUGCUUACAAAGGCAACCCCAUCAAGCUAACAGCAGACCUUUCAGCAGAAAUCCUACAAGCCAGAAGAGACUGGGGGCUUAGAUUCAG
rnacentral:lncRNA from 1 species